UAUUAGGUUGGUGCAAAAGUAAUUGCAGUUCUUGUAAUUAUUUUAAAUGGUGAAACUGCAGUUACUUCUGCAUCAACCUAAUA
rnacentral:miRNA from 1 species